GUGCGGUGCCUUCCGAGUCCCCUGGAAUGGGGCGCCAUAGAGGGUGAGAGCCCCGUAUGGUCGGCCGCCUAGCCUGUGUGAAGCUCCUUCGACGAGUCGAGUAGUUUGGGAAUGCUGCUCAAAAUGGGAGGUAAAUUCCUUCUAAAGCUAAAUACUGGCCAGAGACCGAUAGCGCACAAGUAGAGUGAUCGAAAGAUGAAAAGCACUUUGAGAAGAGGGUUAAACAGCACGUGAAAUUGUUGAAAGGGAAGCGCUUGUGACCAGACUUGCGCCGGGCUGAUCAUCCGGUGUUCUCACCGGUGCACUCUACCCGGCUCAGGCCAGCAUCGGUUUUAGCGGGGGGAUAAAGGCCCCGGGAACGUAGCUCCCCCGGGAGUGUUAUAGCCCGGGACGUAAUGCCCCCGCCGGGACCGAGGACCGCGCUUCGGCAAGGAUGCUGGCGUAAUGGUCAUCAGCGACCCGUCUU
rnacentral:rRNA from 1 species